AUUGAACGCUGGCGGCAGGCCUAACACAUGCAAGUCGAGCGGAUGAAGGGUGCUUGCUCCUGGAUUCAGCGGCGGACGGGUGAGUAAUGCCUAGGAAUCUGCCUGGUAGUGGGGGAUAACGUCCGGAAACGGGCGCUAAUACCGCAUACGUCCUGAGGGAGAAAGUGGGGGAUCUUCGGACCUCACGCUAUCAGAUGAGCCUAGGUCGGAUUAGCUAGUUGGUGGGGUAAAGGCCUACCAAGGCGACGAUCCGUAACUGGUCUGAGAGGAUGAUCAGUCACACGGGAACUGAGACACGGUCCAGACUCCUACGGGAGGCAGCAGUGGGGAAUAUUGGACAAUGGGCGAAAGCCUGAUACAGCCAUGCCGCGUGUGUGAAGAAGGUCUUCGGAUUGUAAAGCACUUUUAGUGGGGAGGAAGGGCAGUAAGUUAAUACCUUGCUGUUUUGACGGUACCAACAGAAUAAGCACCGGCUAACUUCGUG
rnacentral:rRNA from 1 species